GGGCCUCAAAUCAGACAAGAGUACCCGCUGAACUUAAGCAUAUCAAUAAGCGGAGGA
rnacentral:rRNA from 2 species